rnacentral:tmRNA from 1 species
GGUUUCGACGUGGGUGCGGACUCGGCGCAGGGCAUGUCGAGCGCCAGUUCGCUCGUAAAUCCAGCUGAAACAAAGUAACUGCGAACGACGAACGUUUCGCCCUCGCCGCUUAACACCGGUGAGCCUCGCAACGGUUGGCCGAUGGGCCGGGCCCGCAAGGGCUGAGAGGUCAUUCACAUCGGCUGGUGCUGACCCGGGUCACUCGGGACAGGACGAGAUCAAGUGACUGGCCCCGCCGGUAGCGUGCUGCUGCGCGACCGGAGCGGCGAGACUCAAAUCAGACAGCUACGCAUGUAGAACUGGCC